rnacentral:rRNA from 1 species
CUACGGGAGGCUGCAGUCAAGAAUCUUCCGCAAUGGACGAAAGUCUGACGGAGCGACGCCGCGUGCGGGAUGAAGGCCUUCGGGUUGUAAACCGCUGUCAGUGGGGAGGAAAUGCAUCAGGGUUCUCCCUGGUGUUUGACCGAUCCGCAGAGGAAGCGCAGGCUAAGUUCGUGCCAGCAGCCGCGGUAACACGAACUGCGCGAACGUUAUUCGGAAUCACUGGGCUUAAAGAGUUCGUAGGCGGCCUUUCAAGUCGGGUGUGAAAUCCCUCGGCUCAACCGGGGAAUUGCGCCUGAGACUGUUGGGCUUGAGGGGGAUAGGGGUGAGCGGAACUGAUGGUGGAGCGGUGAAAUGCGUUGAUAUCAUCAGGAACACCGGUGGCGAAGGCGGCUCACUGGAUCUCUUCUGACGCUGAGGAACGAAAGCUAGGGGAGCGAACGGGAUUAGAUACCCUUGUAGUC